UACGGAGGGAGCUAGCGUUGUUCGGAAUUACUGGGCGUAAAGCGCACGUAGGCGGCUUAGUAAGUUAGAGGUGAAAGCCCGGAGCUCAACUCCGGAAUUGCCUUUAAGACUGCAUCGCUAGAAUUGUGGAGAGGUAAGUGGAAUUCCGAGUGUAGAGGUGAAAUUCGUAGAUAUUCGGAAGAACACCAGUGGCGAAGGCGACUUACUGGACACAUAUUGACGCUGAGGUGCGAAAGCGUGGGGAGCAAACAGG
rnacentral:rRNA from 1 species